GCUGGGGCUCAGUGGUAGAGCACUCGCCUGGCACGCACGAGGCACUGGGUUUGAUCCUCAGCAGCA
rnacentral:tRNA from 1 species